GAAUAAGAUAAUUCAAGUAUGUAUAUUGAUAUGUCUAUAAUUUGCAUGUUUUCAGUGUCCAUUCAUCAUCGUUUUGAGUCCAGUUUCGUAUCAUUCAUCACUGUUUUAUAUCAUUUCUCAUCAUUCCUGCAUACUUUGCAUGAUUAGGAUAGCUUUGCAUACUUAUUGCAUUUCUGAGUUGUUUUCAGGUCAUUUAGAGCUGUUUGCGAGCAAAUUGGAAGAAACGAGCCAGAAACAGAAGACAUACUCGACCCCCAGGUCGAGUACUUUGGAGCCAUUCUUCCCACAUACUCGACCCCCAGGUCGAGUGACUUUGGAGCCAUUCUUCCCAUCCACUAGACCACCAGGUCGAGUAACCUCAGCUCAGGCCACUCGAUGACAUUACUCGACCCCCUAGUCGAGUAUCACUUCGCCACACCACCUGACCACACUCGACCAUUCACUCUACCCCGUUACUCGACCCCUUGGUCGAGUAUCAUCACUCACCACCAUCACCAUCACUCGACCGGACACUCGAUCACGUCUUCACAGUCUACUCAAUUCCGCACUCAACCAGACAAGCUGAGCAAAAGGAAGAGAAGAGGAGAAGACAAAGUGUUUGGAAGCGGCAUGGACCUCCAUCGGAUCACGAAGCCCAUCUCGGCCCAUUAUCUCUCUAUGGGCCGAGCGAUUAGGUUAUUGGCCCGUCUAUUAUCAUUUUAUUUCGUUUUGUAUAAAUAGAUGUCUUAGGGUUCUGUCCUGAGACAUCUAGUGGACAUUGAGUUUUUGCUUCAGUUUUAUUUUCUGUUAUACUCUACUGCGCCGCUUUUGCUUCUACAACCUGUAAUUCGAGAUUUUUCCAAGUUAUUCAGAUUCUGCGUUUGAUUUCAUCUGUCAUCUUGUUUCUCUACUCUCUAUCUCUUUACUUAUGCAAUAUUAUCGUUUAUCUGUGUUUAUGUCUUUGAGCAUGUUGUCUGAGUAGUGACUUAGAAUUCUUAGGGAUGGGAUAGAGUACUUGUGGAAUCCGUAGUCUGUAGAAUGGUUAAGCUUUAGAAUUAAUUGAAUCCCUUUAGGACUAGUUGCGUUUACUGCUUAUUUCUUUCUGAUCAACUGGAAUUCGAUCCCAAGCUUUCCCGCACCCAGAAGGUGUUCGAUGGAAUGCUUGAUCCACUAGUUCCUGAGAUAUGCGUCUCUAUCCCAAGGGAUUGGCCGUUUAGAGUGUGUAUUGACUUUAUCAGUCUGUUCUUAUUGCCUGCAUAGUUAGAUUCCGUUAAUGGGAAUUAGUUUGGACUAGCUUUGCUUGAGGAUUUCUAUCACGGGAGUGAAUUGAUCUGUUGUUGAACCUGUUGUCUAGGGAUAGCUUGAUUGCGCUUGUUAACCAUUCGAAUAGGCUAGGAUACCACUCUACUCGAUUACCCCAUCCUUAGGAAUUUCUCGUCUAUCUUAUUUCUCUGUUUUAUCGUUAUCGCUUAAUCGUUCUCAUUGCCUGUUUCUUAGUUUUUACAAUCACUCGACCAUCUUACUCGACCACACCCAGUGUCUGGCAACAGACUGUGCAGUCGAGUAAGAUUGUCUUGUUUCCUGUCUAUUACUCGACCUGUUACUCGACCACAUCCUCCUUCUGGCAUCAGCCUGUUGUGGUCGAGUGGUUUUAGUAAUUCUGCUAUUGCUUCUGUUUUCUGCAUGUUCGCUUAGGACUGUUAGAAACCCCAAAACUGUUAUUGCUUGGCUUGACUUAGUGACUUCUGAUCACAUCUCAUCUGUUUGCAUCACACCCAUUUGGAUUGACACUAAAAUACUACAAUGACAUGAUUGGUGUUUUAGGAUAAUUGCA
rnacentral:sRNA from 1 species